ACGAGUCGUUACGGGGUUGUUUGCUGGCUUCUGUCACGGGAGCAUGUGCACGCCUCGCAUCCACUUCAACCUCACCUGUGCACUUCAGAGGACCUCUUCGGUCUUCUUUCACACAAACCACAUAAUGUCAUAGUAGAACGUUUUUGUUAUUAAACAAUA
rnacentral:misc_RNA from 1 species